ACUUGGGUAGUUUAAUUAGAACAUAACGUUGAAAGCGUUAAGGUGUUGUCUCUAAGUG
rnacentral:tRNA from 1 species